GUAAGACUUACAUAGACCUAGUUCUUGCGAUGUCGACUGGCUAUGGGCUGGACGAGCAGAGUUACAUUUGCAGCAACGGACAGAUCUUUUCUUCACCGCUACAACCGAACUGACUCCGAAGCCAGCAUAGACUCCAAUCCAGUGUGACGAAAUGAUCGCCAACUUCCGACGAUGGAAACGAGAGUACCAUCUCUCAAAAUAUAACAUGAUGACCAUAUAUACAACACCGAGUUACAAUUUACAUAAGUGUAUCUUGUACUAUCGGCAGUUUCAGCCCAUUAAAUAAUAUAAACAUA